rnacentral:rRNA from 1 species
UACGGAGGGUGCAAGCGUUAUCCGGAUUCACUGGGUUUAAAGGGAGCGUAGGUGGGAUGGUAAGUCAGUGGUGAAAAAUCUCCGGGCUUAACUCGGAACUGCCGUUGAUACUAUCGUUCUUGAAUAUUGUGGAGGUAAGCGGGAAUAUGUCAUGUAGCGUGAAAAUGCUUUAGAUAUGACAUAGAAACACCGAUAGCGAAAGGGCAGCUUUGCUACACAAAUUUAUUUGACACUGAGGGCUCGAAAGCGUGGGAAAGCAAAACAGGGUUAGAA